rnacentral:rRNA from 1 species
GACGAACGCUGGCGGCGUGCUUAACACAUGCAAGUCGAACGAAGUGGCGAACGGGUGAGUAACGCGUAAUCAACCUGCCCUUCAGAGGGGAACAACAGUUGGAAACGACUGCUAAUACCGCAUACUGAAGGAGGGGUUUGCGUCUGCUUAGCUAGUUGGAGGGGUACCGGCCCACCAAGGCGAUGAUCAGUAGGCGGGCGUGGAUGAUGGACGGCCACAUUGGGAAUGGGAAAAGGGCCAAGAUCCUACGGGAGGCAGCAGUGGGGAAUCUUCCGAAAUGGAGGGAAGUCUGACGGAGGAACGCCGGGGGAGUGAUGACGGCCUGCGGGGUGGAAAGCUCUGUUAAUCAGGACGCGGUACCGGAAUAGAAAGCCACGGCUAACUACGUGCCAGCAGCCGCGGUAAUAC